rnacentral:rRNA from 1 species
CCCAUGGCUCAGAUUGAACGCUGGCGGCAGGCCUAACACAUGCAAGUCGAGCGGAUGACAGGAGCUUGCUCCUGAAUUCAGCGGCGGACGGGUGAGUAAUGCCUAGGAAUCUGCCUGGUAGUGGGGGACAACGUUUCGAAAGGAACGCUAAUACCGCAUACGUCCUACGGGAGAAAGCAGGGGACCUUCGGGCCUUGCGCUAUCAGAUGAGCCUAGGUCGGAUUAGCUAGUUGGUGAGGUAAUGGCUCACCAAGGCGACGAUCCGUAACUGGUCUGAGAGGAUGAUCAGUCACACUGGAACUGAGACACGGUCCAGACUCCUACGGGAGGCAGCAGUGGGGAAUAUUGGACAAUGGGCGAAAGCCUGAUCCAGCCAUGCCGCGUGUGUGAAGAAGGUCUUCGGAUUGUAAAGCACUUUAAGUUGGGAGGAAGGGCAUUAACCUAAUACGUUAGUGUUUUGACGUUACCGACAGAAUAAGCACCGGCUA